GGAGAAGUCCAGCUUGCCAGGAGAACCUGUACUGUUGGAUCUAUCUCGAGAGGACUGAGGGAGCACAUCUCUGCAGCUCUCGAACUUUCAUUGCGAAGAAAGAGAAGAGAGCAGUUGAGUUGAUUGAGGCAGUAAUGCUGCUCCACUUUCUGGUCCUUGAUGAGCCCCUGCGUAGGCGCUUCCUCCUCUCAGGACCAGACCCAACCAUCGUCGCCAUAGCACGGCGCCUACCGGCGAAGGACCACCACCUCCCUGACGACGUGCCCAACCCCGCUGACGAGGCCUGCCGCCAAAACCCUCCUCCUUCCUCCUCGUGUCGGGAUGAACAAGAUCCAGCCGGCGCCUGAAGCU